GUUGAACGCUGGCGGCAGGCCUAACACAUGCAAGUCGAGCGGAUGAAGGGAGCUUGCUCCUGGAUUCAGCGGCGGACGGGUGAGUAAUGCCUAGGAAGCUGCCUGGUAUUGGGGGAUAACGUCCGGAAACGGGCGCUAAUACCGCAUACGUCCUGAGGGAGAAAGUGGGGGAUCUUCGGACCUCACGCUAUCAGAUGAGCCUAGGUCGGAUUAGCUAGUUGGUGGGGUAAAGGCCUACCAAGGCGACGAUCCGUAACUGGUCUGAGAGGAUGAUCAGUCACACUGGAACUGAGACACGGUCCAGACUCCUACGGGAGGCAGCAGUGGGGAAUAUUGGACAAUGGGCGAAAGCCUGAUGCAGCCAUGCCGCGUGUGUGAAGAAGGUCUUCGGAUUGUAAAGCACUUUAAGUUGGGAGGAAGGGCAGUAAGUUAAUACCUUGCUGUUUUGACGUUACCAACAGAAUAAGCACCGGCUAACUUCGUG
rnacentral:rRNA from 1 species